rnacentral:rRNA from 1 species
AGAGUUUGAUCAUGGCUCAGGACGGACGCUGGCGGCGUGCUAAUACAUGCAAGUCGGACGAACCAGGAAGGGAACUUGUUCCUUUCUUGGUUAGUGGCAGACGGGUGAGUAACACGUGGAGAACCUACCUUUCAGCGGGGGAUAACCAUUGGAAACGAUGACUAAUACCGCAUAGGACUUUGAGUCACCUGACUUAAAGAGGAAAGACGGCUUCGGCUGUCACUGAAAGAUGGCUCCGCGGUGCAUUAGCUAGAUGGUAAGGUAACGGCUUACCAUGGCCAUGAUGCAUAGCCGACCUGAGAGGGUGAUCGGCCACAUUGGGACUGAGACACGGCCCAAACUCCUACGGGAGGCAGCAGUAGGGAAUCUUCCGCAAUGGACGCAAGUCUGACGGAGCAACGCCGCGUGUGUGAAGAAGGUCUUCGGAUCGUAAAACUCUGUUGUUGGAGAAGAACAAGUAGGAGAGUAACUGCUCUUACCUUGACGGUACCCAACCAGAAAGCCACGGCUAACUACGUGCCAGCAGCCGCGGUAAUACGUAGGUGGCAAGCGUUGUCCGGAUUUAUUGGGCGUAAAGCGAGCGCAGGCGGUUCCUUAAGUCUGAUGUGAAAGCCCACGGCUCAACCGUGGAAGGUCAUUGGAAACUGGGGAACUUGAAUGCAGAAGAGGAGAGUGGAAUUCCAUGUGUAGCGGUGAAAUGCGUAGAUAUAUGGAGGAACACCAGUGGCGAAGGCGGCUUCCUGGUCUGUAACUGACACUGAGGCGCGAAAGCGUGGGGAGCAAACAGGAUUAGAUACCCUGGUAGUCCACGCCGUAAACGAUGAGUGCUAAGUGUUGGGGGUCGAACCUCAGUGCUGAAGUUAACGCAUUAAGCACUCCGCCUGGGGAGUACGGUCGCAAGACUGAAACUCAAAUGAAUUGACGG